rnacentral:lncRNA from 1 species
AGUGCGGUCCCGGGCGGCGCCGAGUGCUGGGCGCGCUGCACAGCAAAGGCGAGGCUGGAGCGGCGUCUGCGGCGCUGGCGCUCUGCUUUUAGGAAGCGCCCCCACCCCUCCCGCAACCGCGGUCUCUGGGCAAACAAAGACUGGACUUACCCACUGAGUGCAAAACACACAACAAAGGCUGAAGGCACUUCAAACACUGGUGACCCAAGGAUCAGGCGUAAAAAUUCAGAUGCAUCCUCAUGAAAAUUAUGGCAACAGCAAGUAAGAAGAUAAUGAUCCUGAGAAUCAACAUCCAAGACCAGUGGUCAGUCCAGCAGGAAAGAGAUAAAGGUGGCAUGGGACAAGUGCCACCCUCGCCUCUGGGGACCAUCACCCAGACACCAAGCAGGCACUCAAAGAAUGAGUUUGGAUUUCAUUCUGCAAGCGAGGAGGAGGAAGGCCUGCACUUAGUCAUCAAGUCUCAGCUCCAGGCCCGUGAUGCAAGCCCUGGGGAGCACAGAAACACCAGAGCCUGAACUACAAGCAUCCUCUGGUGUUCUCAUGUUUUGAAUGUUUCUGGGGUAGGGAGAACAAUGAGUGUUCCUUUGGUGCCCAUUUAUUAAUGUCUUUGUUUUUUUUAAUAUAAAGUCUUUAGAUUAUUUUUAUUUAGUAUUUUGCUACAUUUGCUUCAAAAAAAUUCUACGAACAUUUAAUGUGCAAUAUUAUUGGAAGGCUGUUUAGAAAGAUUAAAUCAUUUAGAUUAAUUUAAGUUGUAUACAUUCUAACAUCUGCAACCUCCUGAAAUUGCAUUACCUUCUAAGAAAAAAGGGGGAGGUGCUGUAUGCUUUUAAACAACCAGAUCUCCUGAGAAGUCUAUCAUAAGAACAGCAUUUCUUCAUUUGGUUGAGCUGUGGAAGGCUGCCAGCUAUGGAGCUCCACAUUCUGGGGGUGGGGAAAGAAAGAAAAUCAAAAAGCAAUUUCCUCCACGGAUUUUUUUCCAGCUUUAUUGAAAUAUGAUGGACAAAUAAAAAUUGCAUUAUUUAAGGUGCAGUUUUAAUACAUGUAUGCAUUUUGAAAUGAUUACCACCAUCAAGCUAAUUAACACAUCCAUCAUCUCACAUAGUUACCCUUUUUUUUCAGUGGGAAGGGAGGUGUAGAUGUGACAUCACUUAAAAUCUGCUGUCCCCAGACACUGAAUCUUAAAAUCUACUCAUCAUCAACUCAUGUAGGUAAACCUAAUAUGUAGAUUCCCAUUCAUUUGGGCUGCUGUAACAAAAUACUAUGAGCUGGGCGACUAAGAAACAGCAGAAAUUGAUUACUUAUGGUUCUGGAGGCUGGGAAGUCCGAGACCAAGGUGCCAGCAGAUUCAAUGUCUCAGCAAACUUCAAGCAUACACUAUAUUAUUGUUAACUGUAGUCACCUUGCUGCACAGUGGGUCUCCAGAACUGAUUCAUCUUAUAACUGAAAAUUUGCACCUUUUGGCCAAGCACCUCUUAUUUCCCCACACCCAGCUUCUGAUAACCACCAUGCUAUUCCCUGUUUUUAGGAGUUCUACUUUUUAAGAUUUCACAUAUAAGGAAUAUCUUAUGUCAUAUCUGAAUUUGGUAGAAAGUGUUGCUGAAAAUUUUAAAGGCUCAUGAUUCAGUCUUUUGUUGUUGUUGUGUUUAAAUUUUCAAAGAAGCCAGAUACAAAAGGCCAUAAAUUAUGUUAUUUCACUUACAUGAAAUGUUAGACUAGGCAAAGCCACAGAGAGGAGUGACUACUCAUGGGUACGGAGUUUCUUUUGGGGUGAUGGAAAAAUUCUGAAACUAGGUAAUGGUGAUGAUUGCACAACAUUUUGAAUGUACUAAAUGCCACUGAAUUGUACUGUUUAAAACUGCUAAAAUGGUAAAAUUUAUGUUAUGCGUAUUUUACCAUAGUUAAAAAUAAAGUAAAAGAUUUAAUCAGCUAAAUAGUAUUGAAUUGCAUUAUCUUGUGAAAUAACUACAGGUAAGACUAAAAUCUCAACAAAUACUUCCCUAAUCUAGUCCCAUU